rnacentral:rRNA from 1 species
UACGUAGGGCGCAAGCGUUGUCCGGAAUCACUGGGCUUAAAGGGCGCGUAGGCGGCCAUGUUAGUCUCGGGUGAAAUCUUUCGGCUCAACCGGAAACGUGCCUGGGAUACUGCAUGGCUGGAGGGAGGUAGGGGCGGACGGAACUUCCGGUGGAGCGGUGAAAUGCGUUGAUAUCGGAAGGAACGCCGGUGGCGAAAGCGGUCCGCUGGACCUCUACUGACGCUGAGGCGCGAAAGCCAGGGGAGCAAACGGG